rnacentral:rRNA from 1 species
CAGCAGCCACGGGAAUACGAAGGGGGCUAGCGUUGUUCGGAUUUACUGGGCGUAAAGGGCGCGUAGGCGGGCGAUUAAGUCAGAGGUGAAAUCCCAAGGCUCAACCUUGGAACUGCCUUUGAUACUGGUUGUCUUGAGUCCGGGAGAGGUGAGUGGAACUGCGAGUGUAGAGGUGAAAUUCGUAGAUAUUCGCAAGAACACCAGUGGCGAAGGCGGCUCACUGGCCCGGAACUGACGCUGAGGCGAGAAAGCGUGGGGAGCAAACAGGAUUAGAUACCCCGGUAGUCCCUGUCUCUUAUAA